CCUCAGUGUGACUCUCCGGAGGUGGCCUGGAGACACCUCAGCAGGUCCUACUUUGGCCCCAUUGGCACAGUGGAGGGGAGAGAGCCAUACCCUGCUUCUCUCCCCCGUGCUGCUCCACGUGGCUUCUCGGCACAUGGCUCCAGGGCCAUGAGCUGCAUACGCUUGGGGGGCCUAGGUGAAAAGUCAGCCCUGAAAGCUCUUCCCUGCCUCCUGGCCUCUGAGUCGGGGUUUGGGUAGUUUUAGAUCCUCCCAGGCUGUGGGGUAUAAUAAAAGACUUAACUGAUGAUGCAUGCAAGAUGGAGGCCCAAAGUGCAGGGUGAUGCACAGCUAUGUUGCUUUUCUCUGCCCUAGCGGAUCUCCUGGGAAGCCCCUCUGUCCCCCAGUCCCCGAGCUGCAGCGUCCUCCCAGAGGAUGGAGCCUUUUGCUUUCGGAGGAGGAGAGCCGUCACAGCAGGCUUCACAUCCCCCCAUGCUUCCCCGGGUGAAGAGUUUUUGCUUGAGAGCCACAUCUGUCCCCUGCCAUGAGCUGGCCAAGAUGCUGUUCCCUGGGGGCACGCACCAUUUCAAGGGUGAAGCCCCCUCCUAAUUCAGAAAAGGCGAGACGUGCCAGCCCGCCCUUCUCCAGAAGCCAGCAGAGGGGUGAAAGGUGGGGACAUUCAGAACGCGCCAUAAGACGCUUCUGUUUUCUAGUGCUUCUGGGAGGGUUCAGAGGUACAAGAGUCUGAGGGUCUCUGGGGAGGGUGGGAUAUUUUUAGCUGUCACUUGGCUGAUGUUUGCUGUCAUGUAGAGAGUUUGUUUUUCAUUUGUGUAUGGAUGAUAUUCUUUUAGGAACAGCAAAAUCUUCAAGAGUCUGGGAUAGGUGCUUUUCCUGCAUUCACAUAGGAAUAACAGUAAUAACAACAGUAGUAAAUUAAUAACUUUGUAGAAAUACUCAAGGUUUUACCGGAACACCCCAUCUUCUUCCAGCAGUGUAGCUGCUCCGUUCUAAAAACACGUCGUCUUGUGUCAGCCUUUCUGAAAAAGAAAGAAAAGGAUUAUGCAACUGGCAUUAUAGACCAGCGGUUUGCCUAUUGUGAACUCAUGUAGCACUUGAAAACAGUAGUUUUUUGGCCCAAAUUCAGCACAUCACUUAGGCAUAUGCUUAACUUUAAGCAUGAGAAUAGUCAUAUUGAAAUCAGGGGGACUGUUCACAUGUUUACAGUUAAGUCUCAAUCCAAAUGCUUUGCUAAAUUUAGGCCUACUGGGAACUGAGAAUGCUAAUACAGUUUUCAGAGCCUGACCCUGUAAAAUAUUAAAUACAGCUGAGCCCUCUAAUUCCCACUGAAGUUAAUGGAAUUGAGGGUACUUGGCAUUCCUCGGGUGCGUGCAGCCCUGCACAGAAUCAAACCCCGAACGCAGCCACCAAAAAUGGUGCUCACGCGCUUCCUGAAAUCAAAGCAUGAUGCUCCUUGGUUGCAGGUCAGAUACAACCUGCCAAAUGUAGAGCCCUUGAUCUUAAAGGGGAUGUUUCACUGCGACCUUUUGGAGUCCAAAGGACCCAAGGUUACAUGCGUGACAAAAAUAUAGCGUGCGACCGUGAGAAGUGGCGGGGGGGUGGUCGUGGAGGGUCUCAGCAACACGCGUUUUCGGCCGCACUUAUUAAUUACGUUCAGAAUGUAACGCCUCAGAGUGAUUUAGAAGCAUUGCCUCCUGACUUGCCUUGGUAUUUGUUACUUUGCCAAUUUCUUGUAGCCAUUGAAGCAGAGUUUUGGUAUGGGAUUUGGAAAAGGAGAGCAGACCUGGCUGAAAGGUCUGUAUUUUGAAGAUUUUAUUUUUAUGUUUGUAUUUUUAUUGGCUUGCACUUCAUAUUUUUAUUAUAGUUCUUAUUGGAAAGAGCGAUUUUGAUGAGGAAAAGAUCCAAAAGUUUUCAAACCACAAAUGCAACCGCAUACUUAAAGGUUUUAAAACAGUCUGUAGAACAGGCCGUCAAUUUUUGGCAAUCAAAACUCUUGAACAUUUUAAUUAUUGGUAAGAAUUGAGUAAAAAUGUAUUCAUGUUUUGUUACUUAUUUUUCUCCAACAAUUUCAGGCUGAAGUUGUUGACAACCCUUUUGCAACCAGUAACUUUUUUUUUCCUAGUUGUCACUAAAUGACAUACAGGUUUUUCAGCCAGGCUUAGAAGUUUAGAUGGCUUUGCAGGUUGGUUCAGGCUGGGGAAUCACAAGGAGGUUGGCUGGAACGAGGAAAGUUGCAGUGGGUGACAUCAGGGAUAAGAGUGAGAGUUUGGGGGUUUGAUGGGGAAGAGGGUUUCAUGGUAAAGAAAUAAAUCUGAAGAAUUCGAAGAGGCAUCAAGUUGCUCAGAUUAGAGCAGUAGCAAAAAUAACGAUUAUGGCAGCUUGUAUUGGAGGCUAUGGGACAUUUUUAUCAGGAUGAUUUGGCAGUCGAGAACACAGCUUCUCAGCGAUGAACGUUUUCUGUAGCAAAAAGGAAAAAGCUUUAUUUAAGGUCUGAUCCAAUCAAUUUUUUUUAAUUAAAAUUAUGUAAAAUAUGUAGUUUCAAAAAAGUUCAAAUUAAAGCUUCCUUAGGGGAAAAGAAUGGGACAUGGAGACUCGUGUCUUCCGUUGUGUAAUCUGCAAUUAGCUCACCAGGCUGCAUAGUACAGAAACGAGCAUCAUUAUUGUGCCUAGUGGGAGCUGUAGGACAGCCAUGAAGCUCUGCUCUCUCUUCCUUUCUGGGUGGGGUCCCUCACUAUACCAUAUAUUUCUCAAUGCACACUAUAUGGUCUUUCCACUGUAUCAUGCACUAUAGGUAGUGAAGUCCUUGUUACGGUGAAGUGUAGUUUCCUAUAGGUUUUGGCUCAGAGCAAGCAGAAUCUGCAAGGGAAGGGUAACACAGCCUGAUGCUCAUUUUACUCUACAUAAAGCAUGUCAAGUAAACGAAACAAAACUCAGCAUUUAGAAUUCAAUGAUUAGAAAUGCUGAAAAGUUUUGCCUAAAUAUGUAGAGGUUAAAAUGUUAGUAUUUCUGAGGAGGUGCUUUUAAAAUCUGAGCCUUAUAUCCUAUUUUGGAUGAAAAUGAAUGUGGGAAUUUUCAACUGGAAAUUCUGCGUUUCAGUCAAGUCUGAGCUAGACUGAUGGGAAAAGAAAUGGCAGAUCCUGAUAAUCAAGAUAUGAGGUGAUGAAAACUGGAUGAAAAUUCCAGUAGACUACACGGGAAGUCUGAAUGAUUUAAAAAUUGCAGAGGAAAAUGCAUCCCAACUUAGGUAAUAUUUUUGUAUUCUAGCCAAGAGAAAGAAAGGCAAUGGCCAAAAAUGCUCACCACUCUUGAAACUGCAUGGCAGAAUGAUGCUAAAGUCACUGGAGAGUGAGAGAUGUCCUGGAGAAAAACUGGUGCCUGUUUAAUUCAGGCAGAUACUGGUAUCUGGAGGAGGCUCAGAGCGACAGGCUGGGAUGUGCGAUGGUGUGAAGGGAAGCUGGACUGAAAAAGGCAUCUGACAAAAUCAGAUCUCAAGUCAUGGGAGCAGGAUGAAUGCCCCAGAGAGGUGGAAGAAAAGGAGAAAUCUGAAACCAUGACCUUUUCCUCUUUUCCCAUAGAUCCUUCUUCAAUACAGACAGGCCUGACCUUCCUCCAGGGAUUGCAGCAGAGCGCAGAGCAGCAUGGCACGUGGGUCCUGUGGCACUUCAGAGAGGUCUGCGCCUCUUACUGCUGUAAACAGCCAUAAAUACCUCAAAUUUGGUUCCAAGGUUUCUGCUGAAGGCAGCUGACCAGAUAGCCUAAUCUGACUGUACCGAACAGAUGCACUGCUUUCAGUGGAAAGAGCAAUUGACUGCUCCUAGAUUUAACACGUGGAUGCAGCAGCCUGGGGGUGCUCAACGGUGUUGCUUGAGUGGGAUCUAUUUCCCCAGGCUUUCCCAUUCCCUCUCUCAUGUGCCCUGGGAAUGCUCUGUCCCUCCCAGACCCCACAAAUGACCGAAAUGCCACAAGACAAGGAAGGAUGUUUGCACUCGCCUGUGCACUGUUGCCCUCUGCUUCUCCAAACUGCAGGGGCCACCUUACAAUAAUACUUAUAUAGGGCUAUAUAUUUUCCUAGCAUUGUACAAAUAUUAACUAAUUAAUACCCAGGACUCCUGUCGCCCAUUCUGCUAGACUCUACCAGCCCCAGGCAAGUCAUUUAACCUCUGUUUGUCUUAGCUCUGCCAUCUGGUACACAUUGUUUUUAAUUGUCCUCUGAGAAGCUAAGCAAGUUGAAUGAGAUCUUGGACAUGUAAAAAUAACUUGCACAGGAUGGUGUGGAAUGGCUUGGCUAAGCUCCUUGUGGAUCCCUUGUCAAUCCAGGUUAUAUUUUAGCAUCACCACCAGUACAGCUAAACUAGGCACUUGGCAAACCAGGUUCGUAUGUGACUUCCAAGGGGGAGAUGAAGUUCAGUUCUGAUCACUGAGGUAGAGGGGGUAGAAGAGACAGUAUUUAGCAGGAGAGCUGCUCAUGUGUCAAGUGGGAGGUUACUUAACCUGUGUUAAUCUACAAAGGAGUGGAUCCAAAGACCUGCACGAGACAUGUGAUGUGUUUCUCCAGCAGCCCUCACUCCCUGGAAUGGACAAUGAGAAAUGCACUAAGGCUCCAAGGAGGACCCCAGUGGGGAACCAGCCUCAGAGCAAGCCAAAGGCCUUGGACCUCAGCUUCUGCACAUAUUUUGGCCCUAACCUGGCUACAGCUUGGACCCUGAGCCUGCCCUGCAGGCUUAGAAGUGAAGAUGGUAGGAUGUAAGUGGUCAGUGAUGUGCUUAUCCCUAUGUGAGUACAGUCCCCGCAAGACAGCAGAGCUACGAAGGGGGCCAGUGGCCAGUAGGUACGCUGAGGCAGGAGCUGAAUAUGAGCUUGAGGCUCUGCAGCUGGUCAUAGAUGAGCAUGGGUCAUGAGAUCAGCCUUGCGCUUUGGUCCUCCUGACCCAGAGAUGUAUUUCUGUGGAGCAUAAACACUGUGAAAAAAUUGAAGAGCUUUGAUGCUGUGAUGGUCUAAAUCAGAUUUUCCAGGCACAGAUUUCUGGGAGGAGGGGUGUAACAAGGAAAGCUGGGCAACAGUAGUGAAGCUACCAGUGUAGACAUGCCAUCACUUUUCCCAGGAGCAUCCCUACCCUGUGGUAGAGCGGUAUGAUCCCAAAGACUCUUCUGAUAGGGCUGACAGACCUGCAAGUAUCCUACAUAAACCCCUCCCUCUCCCUUACUUUCUGUCUCCAUGUGAGACCCAGUGAAUGGAAGCCCCUGUGAUGGUAAAUUGCUACAGCAGCUCUGUACCACUGGGGAGUUUUCCUCCAGAAGGGAUCCUCACUUGCCUGACACUCAAGGGUGCCCUGAACUGCUGGUUGGCUUUGCUUAGGAUUCAUGGACUGGGAGAUCUUAUCUCCGUCAGAGUAACCCAUCAGAAGGACAUGCUGCUGCCUUGCUCAAGGCAGAAAUAUUAUACAAUGCUCCUAGCAGGUUUUUUUUGCUUCACUUUUCACUUAAAUGUAGCACACUUCUCAUCAUACUCUUAAGAGAAGAAGACAGCUCAGAGUCCUUUAUGUGGGCAGUGUGGCUUUUCCAAAACUUCAUGUUUUCCAAUGCCAUUAUUAAAAGGUAGGAAGGUAAAGCUUUGCACUAAAAAACAUUUCCGACUGCGUGAAAUCCCCUUCACUGAUUUACAUAGCUUUAAGAUGGUUUUACAACCUGUAUUUUUAAAUGGAGGGAUACAUGUGAAACUUUGACCCAGCAAAGCACUUAAGUACAUGUUCAACCCCAUAUGUAGUAGGUUGCAGGCUGGAUUGAGGGCAUUAAGGGGCAGGAUUAUAAACAAACAUUUGCAAAGCUGGUUUUACUUUUUUAAUGAAAAUGGAAAACUGGCCUUUUUAAUGUAGAGGCUCUAAAAUGGGUCAUUGCAAGUGCAUGUGUAGCAUUGCAGGCUGUUCCUGGGCAUAAUCAAUAAGCACGUGAGAAAAGUUCUGAAAUUGUAGCUUUCACAAUGUGGCGAAUUCUUGAAAGUAUGGGAAAUCUGCUUUUAAAUCCAGGCUGAGUUAGACUGUGUUUACAGCUGUUAAUAUAAACAAGGAAACCUAGCUACAGAGCUCACAGCAUGACUGCGACAUCAUGUUUUCGUUACACUGACUGAAAACUAUGCAUAAUAAUCAGCAGAUUAUUUGGUAUUUAAAUACAAGUAUGGAUUCAGUUAUAAACCUCUGAAGAUGGAUAUUAAAUUAAGGCUCCUUAACUCUUGUCAUCUUUUCGCAAAUACCUAAUAGUUAACUCUUGCUAAUUUUUGCAUACAACAAAUCUGGAGUUAAAAUGGUUGCAAUUAAGUAGUUAAACAGUGUAAUCAAGAGUCAAACUGAAAGUUAGCUCAGCUCAGCAAGUGUGCUAAGCAUGGAAAGGGGGGACUGAGCAGGAGGGCAUGGAUUAGACGUACACAUUAUUAAGACAGCUUUUCUUGACGUAUGCAACUUCCAGUAUGCAACUGCUCUGUGCUGGGUGAAAUGAAACAAUUCAGCCAUGGCAUCUCCAUUGGGCUGAGAAGCAUUUCUUUGAAAGAAUUAUAUUCUCUUUAGACAGUGAAAUAGGCUUUAGGCUUUCAAAAUGCCUGGCUUCUCGAAUGCUUGUAGGCAAAUAUUGUUUGGGGGAAAAAAAUGCUAGUGCUCCCCCAUUCCCUUCUGCCCAAACAAACAGUAAAAUAGUAUGGGAAGAAACAGGAAGGUAAAUAGGAUAUUUUGAAAUUAUUUCUGGCACUCUCAUGACCCGAUUUUGAUCUUGUGCAUCUUAAAGGAGCCUUUGUUCGAAUUUAACACUUUGGCAGGAAAAUGAGGCUGAGCAGUCGUGUUGGAAUAGCACAAAAAAGCUGGAAAAACUACCUUGGAACAGCCCUGGAGACCACGUGAGAUACAGUGGUAUGUUCUUAGCUGGUGGAUCCCUGUUCAGUUCUACUCUUUUUGCUUCCCAGUAGAAAACACGUGGUUUGCAAAUGCCACGUAUGAACCCGACAGACAAAGGCCACAAGGUACACACUGACCUUCUGCGUGGGGUCCUGAUCCCAUGGUGUUGUAUGCACAUGCCUCUCUUCACCUGGGGACCUUCUGAGGAAAAGUGCCGUGUUUCCAGUCACGUUUCACAGUCGAGCUGCACUUUAAGAGCAGUGAGCCAACCUCAGCGCAUCUGGAGAUACAGUGUGGUUAAACAACCCAACGUUCAAAUAAACAUGUUGCUUUUUGCUUCAUUCUCCCACUGGGCCAGCCCUGGGUUUUGCUGAGCUCAGACCUUUUCCUCACGGCUGCCGCUGAGCUUGUCCCUUCCUCAGUGACUGUCUGAAGAAGGAGGGGUGUCCCAGGAGCUGGUGGGACCUGGAAAACCCAGGUCGCUCCCUAUUUCAACUGAGAUUGUCCUCCAUGACCUUUGCCAAGACACUACCUCCACCCACUGCUUGUGUCUCACAUUGAUAAAAGCAGAAGACACAUUUAUCUAAUAACUGGUCUUGUGAUGAUGAAGUCAAGCAUUGACUGCAAGAGACUUGGACGCUGCAUGGUGAAGACCAUGUACAUGUAUGGAUGAAAGGUAGCUUUCCACAAAGGUUCUCCCGGUGGCUCCCUCACUUACUGCCCUUUGACUAAGCAAGCCCAGACAUCCAUAUUUUCUGAAUGAAAGAACCAAAAAACCAAAGAGUCUGGAGGGAGCAGAAAUGCGGGAAGCCCCUACAGGACCCCCUGCAGGAGCACAUGCUUUGCUCUAAAAGUAUGGAUUUAAAAAAAAUACAGGACUUUUGGAGAGGUCAGACUGCGUCCUUUCUGGCCUCAGAAACAUAUGCUCUAGCAAUCAAUGCACGUCCUUGACCCUCCCCUACCUUUUCUUACCCAAGGGUUUGCCAUCUUGUGUUCAUGAGCCAGUUUUUAACUGAAUUAAGAAAUUUCUCACGUGAAGGCAGCUCUGCUAAUCUAAACAAGGCUCGUAUGUAACCGGUUUCAGCAUGCCGUUCUAAAUUGCCUAUGGAAACGCUUUCGUCUAGAUCGAGCUACGUCUGCCAGGGGGCCUGAUAUAAAGCUGUGGGUACGGCAAGCGCUGCUGUGAUCCCCAGCCCUGGGGCGCCAGAGCUGGGAGCCGCAGGCGUGUGAUCGCCCCUCUGCAGCGUGCACAUCUGAAAGCGGUCAGCUCCCAAAUCCUCUUGUGAAUCCAGCCCAAAAAUUGGAAACUUUUUGUUUCUGAAAUAGGCAAACCCUCACGAUUUUUUCUGAUGAUUUCCUUGCCCCCAGCCCCCCUAAAUUUUUGGGCUGAAGCCUAGUCACUAAAUCUGACCCAAAUUCAAAAAUAGCUUUGGCUGCUAGUGGGGAGGGAAAGGUCUGACUCUAAUGUGAUGUUCCAAAAAUCUGGGCUUUUGUGUGAAUUAAAGUAGGGGGAGGUUGGUUUGGUUUUCUUAAUAGCCUAUCAAACCUCAUCCUGUCCUAAUAUUGGAGCAUUGCUCAGAGCCAUUUCUGCUCUGCUGGUGUUGUAUACCCAAGAGUUUUGACAAGAUGUUAACACAGCGCACUCAGUAUGUAUUUGGUUCAUAGCAGUUGUUGCUCAUUGACAUCCAAGCUGCUUUCUGAGUGAGCCUUCCAAGUAGACUCCUCAUGAUUAACGUUUUAAUAUUUCCAUUACAAACCACUUUUCUCACAACAGAUUACUUCAGUGCAAAGGGAAGACACUUUCUGUGUCCAAACUCGCAACUGAGGUAGAGGGGGGAGCAGUUUUUGGGUCUUUUUUUUUAGCUUUGGCUCUAGAUGGCAGUUUGAUUUGACUCUUUCCAUUAUGACAAGUCUCUCCCUCCUUCAAAUCGCAGAAUUUCCUUUUCUAAAAUUGUUUCAUUCUGCAAAUAUCCAUGUUUGGACUUUCUUAGGCAGGUUAUUUUAAUCAAAGUUUAAACCAAAGGUUAUUUUUUAAAUCUCGAGUGCAUGUUCUAGGAAGGAUAUUUUCUCUUCUGUUUGGAUAGAUAGAAACCCAGGGCUCAUUCCUGAUUCUCCGGUGCAGAAGGGAGGAGAGCAUCAGCCCCCAGCAGGAUAAAGGGUGAGAUACUGUGCCUUUGUUUUGGGUCAGCUGUGAACGGUCUGUGGUUUGUCCUGUUGACUUCUGUGGAGUCACUUCUGAAGGAUGGUCUUAAUAGGUAUGAGCUGAGGCAGCUGUAUCUGGUCUUAAGGAAAAGAGGGAAACUCACUAAGUGCAUUAAUUGGGUUAUAAAAGUUGUCUCUCAGGAAGGAGAGGACAAGUGUGAUGAAUUGAGUUAACAGGAAACGGAGCCAGCCACAAUAGCUGUCUGAGACCUGUUCAUGGUCUCCCUCUCAAAACAUAACCGACUGCAGCCAGGCGUGACUCCGCCAUUGUUUUUGAGGUGGCCCUGGUGAUUUUUUUACAAGGCUACUGAUAGGAUUCCUUGGCACGCAGCCUGGACUCUGCUGCUUCUUUUGUGGGAGGGGGACUGUUGGGUUUUCCCUGCUGUCUCCUGCUGCAGAAGUUGAACGCGGUUGCUACGCCACACUGAAAGCACCCUGGGAAGAGGAACUUUUGUUCCCCUCUGGAUGGCUGUCGAAAUAAGCCAGGGCCCUGAGCUACCGGUGAGCUUGCAUGUGCAUUCCACACAACCACGGCUUCGCACGCAUGGGGCACUUCAUCACCGCAAGCACACUGUCAGCAGCAGCUCCCAUGGAGGGAAGGAUGGGUUUUUUCUUCAUGGGAAAUGGGAAAAGCUGUGCAGGGAGGCUGGCGGCGUGACCAAAACUACGUGAAGAAUCUGUGUUAGAGUACAGCUUCGAAGGCAUGCCUCCUUGGUCAAGUGACACAGGAUUGACAUAAUCCCUGUGCUUCCUGCCCUUCUCCCUCCUAGUUCCUGGUUAAGAUGGAGCCUGUGGCAGCCUCAGCAUGGCUGACUGUGUGGAUCCUCCUCAAGCCGCAGACUGAAGUGGGACCUUCCAAAUUGGCGACGCAGAUGGUUUUCACAGGCUUUACUGGCUGGCUCUGGUCAGUCUUAGGGAUCUGUUGUUAAUCCAUCAUCUUGAGCAGGUGACUGACUUUUAAUCAGAGGGAGCAGUUUCUAUCUACUUACCCAUUCAUGUAGAGCAAUAAAGCCUGAAAUCUUUAAAAAGAAGGGAAGCCAAGUUUCUCCUGUAUCUCUGUAGAUUCUGCAAAUCCUUCUGUGGCUGUAAAGAGUUGAUCCUGUCUCCUCUGUUGAUAACAACAUGUGUGUGCUUAUGCCAUACACCUCCACCAAAGCUCCUCAGCAAUUCCUGUUUAUUUGACUUGCUUUAUAAAGCAACGUGUCAAUUUGAAAAUCAUUAGGUAUUCCUACCAGGAGUCAAAGACCACAUUCAGAGUGGAUUACACGCAUGUUUCUUAAAAGUGUUAAUGUGCUAAUCUGCUGGUUACUUGAUCCAGGCAAAAUGCCAUGAUAUUCCACAUGAGCAAAAUACCACGGUUCUUGGAGAUUUCAUAUAAAUAUUACCCACUGUGUUUCCACAUUUGAAGUGUUAUACUUGUCUAUUAAAAUCAACAAGCUGGAACUAGGAUCUGGAAAUAAGUGAUAUUACUAUUUUAUUUAUGAACUUCAGAUUCAGAUUCUUUUUAAUAAAAUACCUUACAAAUAAGGAACAGAACAUGAAUCUUACUGUUAUUUCAUGUAUUCCAUGUAAAUAUUUCAACUAUGCCUUGCAGCAAUAAAAGCACAUUAUAUAUACUCUGCA